GAUGAACGCUAGCGGCAGGCCUAACACAUGCAAGUCGAGGGGUAGAACACUUCGGUGUUUGAGACCGGCGCACGGGUGCGUAACGCGUAUGCAAUCUACCUUAUACAGGGGAAUAGCCCAGAGAAAUUUGGAUUAAUGCCCCAUAGCAUUACGACUUGGCAUCAAGAUGUAAUUAAAGUUCCAACGGUAUAAGAUGAGCAUGCGUACCAUUAGUUAGUUGGUAAGGUAACGGCUUACCAAGACGAUGAUGGGUAGGGGUCCUGAGAGGGAGAUCCCCCACACUGGUACUGAGACACGGACCAGACUCCUGCGGGAGGCAGCAGUGAGGAAUAUUGGUCAAUGGUCGCAAGACUGAACCAGCCAUGCCGCGUGCAGGAAGACGGUCCUAUGGAUUGUAAACUGCUUUUAUACAGGAAGAAACCCUCCCACGUGUGGGAGCUUGACGGUACUGUAGGAAUAAGGAUCGGCUAACUCCGUGCCAGCCGCCGCGGUAA
rnacentral:rRNA from 1 species